AUACAAAGCAAGCAAACCUUUCUGAAAAAUGUAUAUAAAAUUAUAUACACACAUAUCCCGAAAAAUUAUCAAAGGUUGGGUUCUAAGAAUAUUGCCACAAAUUGUGUAAAACACAAUUCCCCCAACCAAAACUUCUUUAAUGAAAUUGACUAGUCAUGUAAAAGGGGACAAACAAAA